AGGAAUAUUGGUCAAUGGACGCGAGUCUGAACCAGCCAAGUAGCGUGAAGGAUGACUGCCCUAUGGGUUGUAAACUUCUUUUAUAUGGGAAUAAAGUUUUCCACGUGUGGAAUUUUGUAUGUACCAUAUGAAUAAGGAUCGGCUAACUCCGUGCCAGCACCCGCGGUAAUACGGAGGAUCCGAGCGUUAUCCGGAUUUAUUGGGUUUAAAGGGAGCGUAGGUGGACAGUUAAGUCAGUGGUGAAAGUUUGCGGCUCAACCGUAAAAUUGCAGUUGAUACUGGCAUCCUUGAGUACAGUAGAGGUAGGCGGAAUUCGUGGUGUAGCGGUGAAAUGCUUAGAUAUCACGAAGAACUCCGAUUGCGAAGGCAGCCUGCUGGACUGUAACUGACGCUGAUGCUCGAAAGUGUGGGUAUCAAACAGG
rnacentral:rRNA from 1 species